rnacentral:rRNA from 1 species
CUACGGGCUGCUCCAGUGGGGAAUAUUGGACAAUGGGGGAAACCCUGAUCCAGCAAUGCCGCGUGUGUGAAGAAGGCCUGCGGGUUGUAAAGCACUUUCGGUUGGGAGGACUGCUUCUAGCACUAAUAUUGUUGGAAGUUGACGUUACCUUCAGAAGAAGCACCGGCUAACUCCGUGCCAGCAGCCGCGGUAAUACGGAGGGUGCAAGCGUUAAUCGGAAUUACUGGGCGUAAAGCGCGCGUAGGCGGCUAGAUCAGUCGGGUGUGAAAGCCCCGGGCUUAACCUGGGAACUGCAUCCGAUACUGUCUAGCUUGAGUACAGGAGAGGAGAGUGGAAUUCCACAUGUAGCGGUGAAAUGCGGAGAUAUGUGGAGGAACACCAAUGGCGAAGGCAGCUCUCUGGCCUGAUACUGACGCUGAGAUGCGAAAGCGUGGGGAGCAAACAGGAUUAGAUACCCCCGUAGUC